rnacentral:rRNA from 2 species
GGGGCUUGAGUGUACUCCAAACCCAUGUGACUUACCUAUGUUGCCUCGGCGGGAAAGCUGACCCGGAUGGUAAUUACCCUGUAGUUACCCGGGAGCGAGCUACCUCGUAGCCCGCUGCAGGCCCACCCGCCGGUGGACAGUUAAACUCUUGUUUUUUUUAAUGUGGCAUCUGAAUGAUUAUACGUAAUAAGUUAAAACUUUCAACAACGGAUCUCUUGGUUCUGGCAUCGAUGAAGAACGCAGCGAAAUGCGAUAAGUAAUGUGAAUUGCAGAAUUCAGUGAAUCAUCGAAUCUUUGAACGCACAUUGCGCCCAUUAGUAUUCUAGUGGGCAUGCCUGUUCGAGCGUCAUUUCAACCCUCAAGCCCUAGCUGCUUGGUGUUGGGAGUUUACCUGCGGGUAAUUCCUCAAAUGCAUCGGCGGAGUCGCGGUGACCCCAAGCGUAGUAAUUUUUCCUCGCUUUCGGAGUGUCGGCGCUGGCGUUCGGCCGUUAAACCCCCUAUUUUCUAGUGGUUGACCUCGGAUCAGGUAGGAAUACCCGCUGAACUUAAGCAUAUCAAUAAGUCGGAGGAA